AUUGAACGCUGGCGGCAGGCUUAACACAUGCAAGUCGAGCGCCCCGCAAGGGGAGCGGCAGACGGGAGAGUAACACGUGGGAACGUACCCUUCAGUUCGGAACAACCCAGGGAAACUUGGGCUAAUACCGGAUACGCCCGAAAGGGGAAAGAUUCAUCGCUGAAGGAUCGGCCCGCGUCUGAUUAGCUAGUUGGUGGGGUAAUGGCCCACCAAGGCGACGAUCAGUAGCUGGUCUGAGAGGAUGAUCAGCCUCACUGGGACUGAGACACGGCCCAGACUCCUACGGGAGGCAGCAGUGGGGAAUAUUGGACAAUGGGCGCAAGCCUGAUCCAGCCAUGCCGCGUGGAUGAUGAAGGCCCUAGGGUUGUAAAGUCCUUUCGGCGGGGAAGAUAAUGACGGUACCCGCAGAAGAAGUCCCGGCUAACUCCGUGCCAGCCGCCGCCGUAAAAC
rnacentral:rRNA from 1 species